rnacentral:rRNA from 1 species
AGAGAGAGACAUGCGCGCAUAUCAAUAAGCGGAGGAAAAGAAACUAACAAGGAUUCCCUUAGUAACGGCGAGUGAAGCGGGAAGAGCUCAAAUUUGAAAUCUUCAAGGUUUUACCUUGACGAAUUGUAGUUUAAAGAAGUGUUUUCUGCUGAAGUUUUGGUAAAAGUUCUUUGGAAUAGGACAUCAUAGAGGGUGAGAAUCCCGUAUUUGACCAUUAUUUUCAGCUUUGUGAUACACUUUCAAAGAGUCGGGAUUGUUUGGGAAUGCAUGUCCAAAAUGGGUGGUAAAUUUCAUCUAAAGCUAAAUAUUGGCGAGAGACCGAUAGCGAACAAGUACCGUGAGGGAAAGAUGAAAAGAACUUUGAAAAGAGAGUUAAACAGUACGUGAAAUUGUCAAAAGGGAAGCGUUUGACACCAGUGUUGUUUUCUCGAAAAUCAAUUAAAAAUGGCUCGAUUUUGUAUUGCUGAGACCUUAAAAGCUCACUGUACAUUUUUCGUGUCUUUUUUAAUGCACUUUUCGUUUAACAAGUCAACAUCAGUUUCUUUUGUUGUAAAAGGGUCAUUGGAAGGUGGCUUUCUUUUCGGAGAAAGUGUUUAUAGCCUUUGGCCUCUGCAAUCGGAGAGACUGAGGUCUGCAGCGUAGACUCUUCGGGGUUAGAUACAUUUGUGCUAAGUUAUAGCUUUUUAUAGACAACUUGUUGACUAUAAUUAGUCUUGUAGCUUACUCGCUUAUGCUAUUUUACCUACGCUUAGGAUGUUGAAGAUGUAGCACAUCAU